rnacentral:rRNA from 1 species
GACAGAGGGUGCAAACGUUGUUCGGAAUUACUGGGCGUAAAGCGCGUGUAGGCGGCCCUGCAAGUCGGAUGUGAAAUCCCACGGCUCAACCGUGGAAGUGCAUUCGAAACUGCAGGGCUAGAGUCCUGGAGAGGAAGGUGGAAUGCUUGGUGUAGAGGUGAAAUUCGUAGAUAUCUGAAGGAACAUCAGUGGCGAAAGCGACUUCCUGGACCAAUACUGACGCUCAUGUGCGAAAGCGUGGGGAGCAAACAGG